rnacentral:rRNA from 1 species
UACAGGAGGGGCAAGCGUUGUUCGGAAUUACUGGGCGUAAAGGGCGCGUAGGCGGCCUUCUAAGUCGAACGUGAAAUCCCUGGGCUCAACCCAGGAACUGCGUCCGAUACUGGAAGGCUUGAAUCCGGGAGAGGGAUGCGGAAUUCCAGGUGUAGCGGUGAAAUGCGUAGAUAUCUGGAGGAACACCGGUGGCGAAGGCGGCAUCCUGGACCGGUAUUGACGCUGAGGCGCGAAAGCCAGGGGAGCAAAGCGGG